UACAGAGGUCUCAAGCGUUGUUCGGAUUCAUUGGGCGUAAAGGGUGUGUAGGUGGCGCGCUAAGUCGGGUGUGAAAUUUCGGAGCUUAACUCCGAAACUGCAUUCGAUACUGGCGUGCUUGAGGACUGGAGAGGAGACUGGAAUUCAUGGUGUAGCAGUGAAAUGCGUAGAGAUCAUGAGGAAGACCAGUGGCGAAGGCGGGUCGUCUGGACAGUUCCUGACACUGAGACACGAAGGCCAGGGGAGCAAACGGG
rnacentral:rRNA from 1 species